rnacentral:rRNA from 1 species
AACGGCGGCCGUAACUAUAACGGUCCUAAGGUAGCGAAAUUCCUUGUCGGGUAAGUUCCGACCCGCACGAAAGGUGUAACGAUUUGGGCACUGUCUCAACGAGGGACCCGGUGAAAUUGAAGUACCUGUGAAGAUGCAGGUUACCCGCGACUGGACAGAAAGACCCCAUGGAGCUUUACUGUAACCUGACAUUGGGUUCUGAUACAUCACGUACAGGAUAGGUGGGAGGCAUGGAAGCGAGGACGCUAGUCUUCGUGGAGCCGCCGUUGGGAUACCACCCUUGAUGUAUCGGAAUUCUAACCGUAGGAGUAACGAAACUCGGGACAGUGUCAGGCGGGCAGUUUGACUGGGGCGGUCGCCUCCCAAAGAGUAACGGAGGCGCCCAAAGGUUCCCUCAGCGCGGCCGGAAAUCGCGCGAAGAGUGUAAAGGCAGAAGGGAGCUUGACUGAGAGCCAAACACGGCAAUCAGGUACGAAAGUAGGGCUUAGUGAUCCGGUGGCAUCCAAGUGGAAGGGCCAUCGCUCAACGGAUAAAAGCUACCCUGGGGAUAACAGGCUAAUCUCUCCCAAGAGUCCAUAUCGACGGGGAGGUUUGGCACCUCGAUGUCGGCUCAUCACAUCCUGGGGCUGAAGUCGGUCCCAAGGGUUGGGCUGUUCGCCCAUUAAAGUGGUACGUGAGCUGGGUUCAGAACGUCGUGAGACAGUUCGGUCCCUAUCCAUCGCGGGCGCAAGAGAUUUGAAGGGGGCUGCUCCUAGUACGAGAGGACCGGAGUGGACGAACCAAUGGUGUACCAAUUAUCUCGCCAGAGGUAUAGUUGGGUAGCUACGUUCGGAAAGGAUAAACGCUGAAAGCAUCUAAGCGUGAAACCAGCCUUAAGAUGAGAUCUCUCAUAGAGCAAUCUAGUAAGACACCUUGGAGAAGACGAGGUUGAUAGGUCGGGAGUGUAAGUACAGUAAUGUAUUCAGCGGACCGAUACUAAUAUGUCGAGGGCUUGACUUG